UGGGGAAUAUUGCACAAUGGAGGAAACUCUGAUGCAGCAACGCCGCGUGGAGGAUGACGCAUUUCGGUGUGUAAACUCCUUUUAUAUGGGAAGAUAAUGACGGUACCAUAUGAAUAAGCACCGGCUAACUCCGUGCCAGCAGCCGCGGUAAUACGGAGGGUGCAAGCGUUACUCGGAAUCACUGGGCGUAAAGCGCGCGCAGGCGGCUCGAUAAGUUGGAUGUGAAAGCCUACGGCUCAACCGUAGAACUGCAUCCAAAACUGUUGGGCUAGAGUCUGGGAGGGGAAGAUGGAAUUAGUUGUGUAGGGGUAAAAUCCGUAGAGAUAACUAGGAAUACCAAAAGCGAAGGCGAUCUUCUGGAACAGUACUGACGCUGAGGCGCGAAAGCGUGGGGAGCAAAC
rnacentral:rRNA from 1 species